GAGCGGGAUAAGAGAAGAAAAAGAGAUAGAUAAGCUAGCACAGGAACAAGGCUCAGAGCAGGAAAGUUACCAGGACAGAACAGGGAGGGACUGACUGUCACAGGGCAGGGAGCAGGAGGAAAGAAGCCACUUUUCAGUGAAAGGUAUUUGUAAUUACAAGAAAGCCAGGUUCUUCAGGGCCCUGGAGAAACAGAAAUACAAUUCCCUGGCUUCUGGGGAGAGCACUUAGGGGCUCCUAUAUCCUCAUCCCUUUGGAUUUUCCCUUCUCAAACGCCAGAAUUUGGAAAAGGGUGGGGAGGGUCUUUAAAUUAUUUGGCACAAACUCCGAAAAAGUGGAGAGGCUGUGAGCCAGCCACCCUCCGACUAGGUUUUGUGGUGAUGGUUGCUGAAAUCACUUGCGCACAGGAUGACAGGAGCUGGGAACCUCAAGGACCUGGGCUAUGCUCCUGAUUUUAUACAGACUGCCAUGGCUCCAGAUAUAAAAGACCAAAUAAAAAGUCCAUCAUAAACAGAAGAUGGCAGUGGAAAUCUUUUCUAGAGAAACUGCACUAGCAGGGACUGGAAUGGAACAUGUUAGGACAAGGCAAUUUCUCAGGGAUCAAAGGUACAUCAUGGCAAACUCAUUCCUGCACUUUGGUCUCACGGUCUUUCAAAAGCUGAAUAGUAUUCCAUUGCCUUCUUCCAUUCAUCUGCUUAUGGACACCUAGGUUGAUUCCAUAUCUUGGCUAUUGUGAAUAGUGCUGCAGUAAACAUGGGAUGAUGGGGCAGAGGCCAACCAGGCCUUGCUCUCCAGGCAGAUCACUGGAGAACAAGACAAUGUGUCCACCACUCAAGCAUAUUGAGAACUGCGCUUGCAUCAAGCAUAUUGAGAACUGCUGCUUGCAUCACACCUGCUAAUUUCCAGUGGCCAAAGCAUGUCACAUAGCUAAGCCCAAAGUUACCUACCAGACACUGACUAUCUUAAACACCGAAGCACAAGAAUGCUCCAAAGAAGAGGUCUAUAUUGCUUGGCUCAUAUUAACUUCUGUUUAUUUUCUUACGAUUAAGGCUCAAACGUUGUUAAAAAAUGUUCAAAUCCUACAAGACACUGACAUGCCAGUUCCUCAGCUUUGAUGGAGAAACCAGCUUUCUCUUCUUGCAGAGAUACUCUUCAUGAAAAGUGGAGCUCCAAGAAGAGUAGACAUGAGGAAAAUAUGAAUUUUUACAAAAGGAAAUGUAUGGUGCAAUUAUAAACUGUAGCAUGAACCCAUAAUUGGAAGUCUACAUCUCACAGUUAUAGUCAAGAAUUCUGGUACAUAUAAAAUAAGUUCUUUCAAAAUGGGAUUCAGGUAUUAUUUAGAAAUGCAUCUACUGAAAAGAAGCAUACCAUAAAAAUUUAUGCUAAUUAUGGAUGAGAUCAUGGACGGUUUAAUCGAAAUUACGAGUUGGAUUUGUCAGAUGUAGAGUCUCAAUCAGGCCACUUGAAAGACCAAAUGAUUUCCUUUUCAUCUGAAAGGUUCAGAGAGGAAGCUUUUGAAAAGACACUAUUGAAAUCUUCAAGGUAGCUGUUCCUAGCACAGCUUUGAUUUCUAAAAUAACUAGAAGGACUGUAGACCUACAUGAGGGGAGAGAAGAGAAACUGAAGAAUUGUUAGAAAACAUAAGUUUUCUUUACUUCUAGUACCACUCCACGCUUUGUGAAAAAAGUUAUUUUAUGAAGUCAAGAAGUCAAUCAGAAGAAACACCAGGGAAAGUCAACACAAACUGGUUUAUCUAAUACUUUUUCAGUGUCCAAUUUGCAAUGCACUGAGUUCCCUGCUAAACUAUGUCUAUAUAUUGGGGGCUGGGAGAGGAGUAGGUUAAAAAUAAAUAGGAGUUGCAAGUCUUUCUCCUCGGGCUACUAAUAAUAUACCUGAAUUUUAUGUUUGAUUUUGUCUUCCUUGUCUUUAUAGUUUUUGCAACUAAUGUAUAUAUGUCUAAACAAUCUAUUGCUUAAAUUUACAUAAUUUUCAGCUUUACAUAUGUAGAAUCAUGCUGUUUGUUUUCUUCUGUACCUCAGUUUUUUUCACUAAAAAUUGUCUUCUGAAAAAAAAAAGCGGAGGUAUCAUACUUCCUGAUUUAAAAUUAUAUUACACAGCUAUAGUAAACAAAUCAGUAUAGUACUUACUCAAAAACAGACACAGUGAAACAGAAUGGAGUCCAGAAAUAAAUUCAAACAUAUACAGUAAACUAAUUUUUGACAGAGACACCAAGAGGAUACAGUGGGAAAAGGUUAGGCUCUUCAAUAAAUAGUGCUGGGAAAAUUGAAUUUCCACAUAUAUGCAAAAUUUAUAAAAUAUAAGACCUAAAACUAUAAAAUUCCUUAAAGAGAACACAAAAAGCUCCUGGACAUUGGCCUUGGAAAUAAUUUUUUGGAUAUCACACCAAAAAAUGGAAAAAAAAAAAGCUCAGGCUACAAAAGCAAAAAUAAAUAAAUGGGACUACAUUGAACUACAAAGAUUUGCACAGCAAACUAAAUAACCAACAAAAUAAAAUGACAGCCUAUUGAUUGGGAAAAAUAUUUGCAAACCAUGUGUCUGAUAAGGGGAUAAUAUCCAAAAUUAAUAAAGAACUCAUACAACUCAAUAAUAGGAAAGCAAAUAGCCUGAUUUUAAAGUGGGAAAAGAACACUUGUCGACAUUUCUCCAAAUAAGACAUGAAAGUGGCCAACAGAUAUAUGAAAAGGCACCCAACAUCAUUAAUCAUCAGGAGAAUGCAAAUCAAAACCGCUGAGAUAUCACCUCACACCCAUUAGGAUGGCUGUUAUCAAAAAAACAAAAGACAAAUUUUGGUGGAGUUGUGGAGAACAGGGAGCCCUGGUACAUUCUUGGUGGGGUUAUAGAUUGGUACAACCAUUAUGAAAAAUAAUAUUGAGAUGUCUAAAGAAAUUUAAAUGAGAACCAUCAUGAUCUGAUCAAGCAGUCCUUCUUCUGAGCAUAGACCCAAAGUAAAUGAAAUAAUCACCUCGUAAAGACAUCCACACUCCCAUGUUCAUUGCAGCACUAUUCUCAAUAGCCAAGAUAUGACAAGAGCCUAUGUGUCUGUUAAUGGACAAAUGGAUAAACUGUGAUAUAUACAUAUACAUACACAUAUAGUUCUCUUACACUGAAUGUAUAUUAUUCAAUAUUGAAAAAGAAGAUUCUGCCAUUUGCCACACAUAGUGAACCUGGAGGAUGUUAUACUAAGGGAAAUAAGUCAGACGCAGAAAGAAAAAUAUUGUGUUAUCUCGCUUAUUUGUGAAAUCUAAAAUAAAAAGCCAAAUAUACAGAGAUAGAGAAUAAAACUGUUGUUAUGGGCAGGGGAUAGGGAGAUGUAGGUCAAAUAUGUGGGCUGAAUAAGACUAGAGAUCUAAUGUACAUCAUGAGGAAUACAGGUAAUAAAAUUGCACUGUAUUUGGGAAACCUGCUGAGUAGAUUUUAGUUACUCUUGCCACAGAAACAAAGAAGAAAUAGGUAUCUAUGUGAGAUUAUGGAUAUGUUAAUUUGCUUCACUAUAUGUUACUAUCUAUAUGUAUCCCAUAACAUCGUAUUGUAUACCUUAAAUAUAUACAAUAAAAAUGUAUUUAAAAAAUUA